rnacentral:rRNA from 1 species
GUGGGGAAUAUUGCGCAAUGGGCGAAAGCCUGACGCAGCGACGCCGCGUGGGUGAUGAAGGCCUUCGGGUCGUAAAGCCCUGUCGGGGGGGAAGAAACGUCUUGGGCCUAAUAUGCCCGAGAAUUGACGGUACCUCCUAAGGAAGCACCGGCUAACUCCGUGCCAGCAGCCGCGGUAAUACGGAGGGUGCUAGCGUUGUUCGGAAUCACUGGGCGUAAAGGGCGUGUAGGCGGUCUACUAAGUCUGAUGUGAAAUCCCCUCGCUCAACGAGGGAACUGCGUCGGAUACUGGUAGACUUGAGUACCGGAGAGGAAGGCGGAAUUCCCGGUGUAGCGGUGAAAUGCGUAGAUAUCGGGAGGAACAUCGGUGGCGAAGGCGGCCUUCUGGACGGAUACUGACGCUGAGACGCGAAAGCGUGGGGAGCAAACAGGAUUAGAAACCCCUGUAGUCC